AUUUGACCUCAAAUCAGGUAGGACUACCCGCUGAACUUAAGCAUAUCAAUAAGCGGAGGAAAAGAAACUAACAAGGAUUCCCCUAGUAACUGCGAGUGAAGCGGGAAAAGCUCAAAUUUAAAAUCUGGUGGUCUCUGGCCAUCCGAGUUGUAAUCUAGAGAAGUGUUACCCGCGCUGGACCGUGUACAAAGUCUCCUCAAA
rnacentral:rRNA from 1 species